rnacentral:piRNA from 1 species
UUGUAUUCGACAGUGGAGAAA